GAAAUUUGGAUUAAUACUCCAUAAUAUUUAAGCACGGCAUCGUGCUUUCAUUAAAGCUCCGGCGGUUAAGGAUGGGCAUGCGUGACAUUAGUUUGUUGGUGAGGUAACAGCUCACCAAGACUACGAUGUCUAUGGGGUCUGAGAGGAUGAUCCCACACACUGGUACUGAGACACGGACCAGACUCCUACGGGAGGCAGCAGUGAGGAAUAUUGGUCAAUGGACGCAAGUCUGAACCAGCCAUGCCGCGUGCAGGAUGACGGCCCUAUGGGUUGUAAACUGCUUUUAUACAGGAAGAAACCCUUCUACGUGUAGAAGGUUGACGGUACUGUAAGAAUAAGCAUCGGCUAACUCCGUGCCAGCAGCCGCGGUAAAUACGGAGGAUGCAAGCGUUAUCCGGAAUUCAUUGGGUUUAAAGGGUGCGCAGGCGGGG
rnacentral:rRNA from 1 species